CUUAGAUCACAACACAGUCAGGCGCAUGACACCAGCUUUUAAAAAUGUGUCAUACGCAACUAAAGUGUGAAACAGACACUUACACACAUUGUCAGAAACUGCCACAGAAGAAGACAAUGUGUGUGUGUGUGUGUGUGUGUGUGUGUGUGUGUGUGUGUGUGUGUGUGUGUGUGUGUGAGAGAGAGAGAUUUUGUCUUAACAGGCUCAUUUCUUCCUGAUGGCUUUAAAUGAUUUCAUCACAAUUAAUGACACACACCGCGGCUCCCUGUGACUCGCUGGCAGAUGUUCAGGGACCUCGGAGUGUCUUCAUCUCUCUCUCAGAGCUAAAGAGGCACUUUCCUCCCGUGACAAACGAGGCCGUGCGCCUUGUCAGCGUCUGAUCCGUAACCCUCGACGCUCAAAGCGGUAAAUUAUCGACACAUCUGUUCAGACUUUGUUGAAAAAUGUAGCCACCUUUUAUCCUUUUUUCCUCCUCGUGCAUACUGAUGAUCUGCACUUUUUUCACCCUCAAGUUGUUCAGCGGCUUCGACGUCCUUCUGCGAAUGUAGCUUUUCUUUUCUUUCUCUUUUUUCUACAAAGGCAUUGAGAAUGUGAUCUGGUUUAUAGCUGAGUAAUUAUAGUUGUCCUGUCAGAAUUACAGUAAUUACAAGCUUGUAUAAAGGAUUUACAUUUAACUCUUUAUGUGUCGAUCAGACAUCCGGUUAUUUCCUCACAUCCGACGCAUGAUAUAUACAAUAAAUAUCAUUUAACUCUGAAGAAACGAACAUCUCCAAGUGCAGUCUCAUACUUAGGGGAAUUCUGAUAUGAUGUAAAUACGCUGUAAGAUCAUAACUACGCUUCGCUAUGAAUGACAUCAUCAUGUCUACUUACAGUUUUCAGAUAAAUUAAACACCACACAGUCCAGUGAUCCAGUUACAGUGUAAAACUGAAACUACUGAAUAUUAUUCAACCCUGGGAUUUGUUGAGCACUGGUAUCUCCAUAAACUUAACAUUCUUAAAUCAGGAUUUUGGGGGUUUUGUAGAAUGUUAGUGUUUGUUGGAUAAUGUUAGGGUUUGGUGGAUAGUGUUUGGGUUUGGUGUAGAAUGUUAGUGUUUGUUGGACAGUGUUAGUGUUAGUGUUUGGUGUAGAAUGUUAGUGUUUGGUGGACAGUGUUAGUGUUAGUAUUUAUUGGACAGUGUUAGUGUUUGGUGUACAAUAUUAGUGUUUGUUGGACAUUGUUAGUGUUUGGUGUACAAUGUUAAUGUUGGUUGGACAGUGUUAGUGUUAGUGUUUGGUGGUCAGUGUUAGUGUUUGGUGUAGAAUGUUAGUGUUUGGUGGACAAUGUUAGUGUUAGUGUUUGGUGGACAAUGUUAGUGUUUGGUGGACAGUGUUAGUGUUAGUGUUUGGUGGUCAGUGUUAGUGUUAGUGUUUGGUGGACAAUGUUAGUGUUUGGUGGACAGUGUUAGUGUUAGUAUUUAUUGGACAGUGUUAGUGUUUGGUGUACAAUGUUAGUGUUUGUUGGACAGUGUUAGUGUUUGGUGUACAAUGUUAGUGUUUAUUGGACAUUGUUAGUGUUUGGUGUACAAUGUUAGUGUUUGUUGGACGGUGUUAGUAUUUGUUUUACAGUGUUAGUGUUUAUUGGACAGUGUUAGUGUUAGUGUUUGUUGGACAGUGUUAGUGUUUGUUGGAUGAUGUUAGUGUUAGUGUUUGGUGCACAGUGUUGAUGUGUAACCUCACUGUGCCAAUACAAACAUCUUCAAUAAAGUUGACUGAGAUCAGAGAAUACAGCGCGAGAACUUGGGGACCACUUCAAAAGGGAUGCCAAUAAUUAUGGCACAGACAGUAACUAUUUCAGGUCCUUAUCACGGUAUAAGGUCAAGUCGAUAAUGUUUACUGUCACUGACUUUAUCAACAACGAUUCUCCAGUACAGUAGAGCGAUAUGAAAAAUCAGACAUGUGAAAUCUCUCAUUAAUCACAGCGUGUUAAGUAUUUCUAUACACAACCAUAGUGUCAUUUCUGUUUGUGUGUGUGUGUGUGUGUGUGUGUGUGUCCCGGCUAAUGUUAAGUAAAUAUAUGAGACGUACGCAGCGUAUGAGGUCAAUAGAAACUGGAGACGCUGUCUCAUUAAGCACGUCAGAGCCACAGAGCGGACGUUCCUGACUUCAUUCAUUCGUUUCGCUCCUAAUUGCGAACUUAAUUUUCCGACUCUAUUGAUUUUUUUUCUUUUUUUUUGCCUCCUCUCCGUCUGUUCAUUUUCCUAAUGAAACGCUUCAGAGCAAUUUGGUGCCAACUAAGUAAAUGGAGCUUUAAUUUGAGGGGUGGCUGCAGGAAGCAGAUCUUUCAGCCCCGUGUCCUUCCGCACAUUGUGAAUGCCUAAUACACACACACACACACACACACACACACACACACACACUCUCUGUUGUCAUGUCAAACACUGCUCUGGUUUGGGUGUUUAGAAGAGAAGAAGAUUGUGGUUUGUUGAAGACAUCAGUGUUUGGUGGUGAAUAUUGAUGUUUGGUGUAGAAUUGUAAUUGUAGCUUGGUGUAGAAUGUUGGUGUUUAUUAGAAAAGAUUGUGGUUUGGAAAAUGUUUAUGUUUGCUGGAGAUGUUUGUGGUUUGGUGGAGAAGACUGUUUUAUGAGAACAAUGGUGUUUGGUGGAGAAGAUUGUGGUCUGUUGUAGAAGGUUAGUGGUUGGUGGAGAACAUAAGUGUUUGGUGGAGAAUGUUAGUGUAGAUGAAGAUUGUGGUUUGUUGGAGAAUGCCAGUGUUUGGUGGAGAAAGUUGUGGUUUGUUUGAGAAGAUUGUGGUUUGUUGGAGAAUGCCAGUGUUUGGUGGAGAAAGUUGUGGUUUGUUUGAGAAGAUUGUGGUUUGUUGGAGAUUGUGGUUUGUUGGAGAUUAUUGUGGUUUGUUGGAGAUUGUGGUUUGUUGGAGAUUGUGGUUUGUUGGAGGAGAUUGUGGUUUGUUGGAGAUUGUGGUUUGUUGGAGAUUGUGGUUUGUUGGAGGAGAUUGUGGUUUGUUGGAGGAGAUUGUGGUUUGUUGGAGAUUGUGGUUUGUUGGAGGAGAUUGUGGUUUGUUGGAGGAGAUUGUGGUUUGUUGGAGAUUGUGGUUUGUUGGAGAUUGUGGUUUGUUGGAGGAGAUUGUGGUUUGUUGGAGGAGAUUGUGGUUUGUUGGAGAUUGUGGUUUGUUGGAGAUUGUGGUUUGUUGGAGAUUGUGGUUUGUUGGAGGAGAUUGUGGUUUGUUGGAGAUUGUGGUUUGUUGGAGAUUGCGGUUUGUUGGAGGAGAUUGUGGUUUGUUUGAGAAGAUUGUGGUUUGUUGGAGAUUGUGGUUUGUUGGAGAUUGUGGUUUGUUGGAGAUUAUUGUGGUUUGUUGGAGAUUGUGGUUUGUUGGUGGAGAUUGUGGCGUGUUUAAGAUUGUGGUUUGUUUGAUAAGAUUGUGGUUUGUUGGAGAUUAUUGUGGUUUGUUUGAGGAGAUUGUAGUUUGUUUGAGAAGAUUGUGGUUUGUUGGAGGAGAUUGUGGUUUGUUGGAGGAGAUUGUGGUUUGUUGGAGAAGAUUGUGGUUUGUUGGAGAAGUCGGUGUUUGUUGGAGAAGAUUGUGGUUUGUUGGAGAAGUCGGUGUUUGUUGGAGAAGAUUGCCUUGUUUGUAGAUAUUUGGGGUUUAGAAGAAGGAGCUAUUUCAGAUUUGUGUCCUUCUGCAUUUUGUGAAUGCAGCACACAUACUGUAUACACACACACACACACACACACACACACACACACACACACACAACUCUCAGGGAUUAGUCUGUUAAACCAAGCUUUCUUAUUGAGAUUAGGUCAUUAAUUUCGCCCCUUACAUAUGAAAAUAUUGACAGUUCCCAUGCACCCUGCCGUUUGGGUUUCUGACCGGCCGCGUCGCUCGCUGAGAUAAAUCCUGACCCGUGUGUGGUGCUCGAUACUCCGUAGACUGAUCCAUCCCAGAAACUGAUAAACAAGCAAUAUAUUAGCUUGAUAUGUUAUCACCAGAGGAGGUUUAUCGAUUAGCCUGGUGAGAAACUGUCCAGACGGGAUGAGUGACGGGACAUGUGAGGACACCGGGUUAGGUAGUUGAGACAUGCGGGAUAUUUUUGGGAAGACAUCAGCAUGACGUCCCGUCUCUUACUAACCCUCCAGACUCGAAACAAGUCAUUUCCAAAAAACGGGGUUUGCGUUACGAAGAAAAAGUUUUUCCAAAGAAAAUCAUAGUCACAGUUUUUCUCCUACCCCGAGAAACAGGAGUCUCGUCUCAGUGACGAUGAGUAACGAGAGAGAGAAGGAGGGAGAGAGGGAGGGGUGUGUGUGUGUGUGUGUGUGUGUGUGUGUGUGAGGGGGGGUGCUCUUUUCAAAAAGUCAUCUGUUCUUCGUUUGUCCGGAGCUUGGGAACAGAAUAUCAGGAAGCGCUCCGGUUGUGGCGGAAGAUGAAAAGAGGAGAGGAAUGAAUAAAAAAACACGUGUCGCACAUGUACUGUGGCAGACUGCAUAUGUCCUGUGAAUGUCUGAACAGGCCUGAGAGACACAGCAGCCAACACACACACACACACACACACACACACAAACACACACACACACACACACAAUUCCUAGCACAGAAAAACUAGUGACAAAACUUAGAUAUAUAUUAUCACCACAUUCAGACAAAACUCCAUUUGUGACUAAUAACACUUAGCGGACCGUACCAUUUCACCUCCUUAUAACUCAUCAGUGUUGGGUAAGUUACUCAAAAAAAUACAUCCACUACAGAUUACUAAUUACUUUCAAAACCAUCAAACCUACAGAAUACACUACAAACUCAAACUCAGAGAUCUUUCAGUAAGGUUAGCGUCAGUGUACGACACGAUCAGAAAAAGUCUGAUUUAUAAUAGACCCUUCCUCGGGCGUGUCGCUGUGUGUAGAAUACCAGAGCGCUAAAAUAUGAAACUUUUCGAACUAGGCUAGUUUGGUGUCUCUAGCCGAGAGGAGACACGGCUAAGCUAUCACUGUAUGUGUUUAGCUGCUACAGAGUCAUGUAGAGUUCAUUAUCUUUCCUUCUGCUCUGCUCAGAUCAUCUUCACGUGAACUGGAACUCAUAUAGACGUUCACACGCCUUGUUCUCCUGCUCAGCAUCAGAGGAUGUUUCUGUUUCUGUUUCAACUCCUUUACUGCUUUAAAAAUAAUAAUAAAUCUGCGUUUAUCCAUUUUUCCUCACACUGACUGUGAGCUAGCGUUCGGCAGAAUCGAGAGACCGUCAGCCAAUAAGACGCGAGAAUUUCCACGCAUGUUCCUGUAAACGCUGUCUGAUCGGUCUCGCCUCCGUUCACUGAAGAUAUAACAUUACAUCACCGCCGUCUUCUUUUACUGACGUUCAGUUACGCAGUGACGAACCGCUCCGAGCGGAGAAUUAUUCAGGGAUAAAGAAAACAUCUUCAGGGCAAAACCUGAUUUAUUUUAAAAAUGCAUUUUAUUUCAUAUUGUUUUCUUAACAAUGAAUUUGAAAUGGAAGUAAACGUUGUUUUAUUGGCAUCAGUAAGUGUAAUUAAAUUACAUCCAUUUAAAAUAUAAUGUGUUACUGCGUUAUCAGAAAAAGUCAUUAGAUUACAGUAACACGUUACUUUGUGUUGUGGCUUUGUCACAUUACCACAGUUACUAUAUCGUUGUUGCGUUGUCUCUUUGUCACUAUCAGUUUGUCACUUCCUUGUUGUUGCUGCAGUUUAAUGUUGUUUCCGUGUCACUGCUGCUUUCUCAUUUCGCUGUCAUGUUGUCAUUGUCAUUUUGUCUUUAUCUCUUUGUCGUUGUCAUUUUGUCUCUGUCAUUUUGUCGUUGUCAUUUUGUCUCUGUCAUUUUGGCGCUGUCAUUUUGACGCUGUCAUUUUGACGCUGUCAUUGUGGCGCUGUCUCUUUGUCAUUGUCAUUUUGUUGCUGUCUCUUUGUCGCUGUCAUUUUGUCGCUGUCUCUUUGUCGCUGUCAUUUUGUCUCCUGUCUCUUUGUCACUGUCAUUUUGUCCCUCUCAUUUUGACGCUGUCAUUUUGACGUUGUCAUUUUGUCGCUGUUUCUUUGUCGCUAUCAUUUUGUUGCUGUCUCUUUGUUGCUGUCAUUGUGUCGCUGUCUCUUUGUCGCUGUCAUUUUGUCGUUGUCAUUUUGUCGCUGUCUCUUUGUUGCUGUCAUUUUGUCAUUGUCAUUUUGUCGCUGUCUCUUUGUUGCUGUCAUUUUGUUGCUGUCACUGUAAUGCUGUCAUUGUGUAGCUGUCAUUUUGUCGCUGUCUCUUCGUUGCUGUUCACUGGUUUCUCACUGUUGCUUCUUUGCUGUGUCACUGUCACUUUGUUGAUGUCACUUUGUCACGCUUUGCGGCAGUGUCGUUGUCGUUGGAACACUGUCGCUUUGUUGCUGGUGCGUUGUCGCUUUCUCACUUUCUCGCUGUUGUUUUGUUAUUUUCUCACUAAAACUGUGGCUCCAUGUCGCACGCGUACAAGAACAGUCCCAUUCACUUUGUCACUUCCCAAUCUGAAUGCAAGAUAAAACUCUACUAAGCGACUUCUUUUACCUCUGAUCCACCAUCAAAAGCAAUAUCAGGUAUCAUUUAGUCAAGCAUGUCGAUGGCUCUCUCUCUCUCUCUCUCUCUCUCUCUCUCUCUCUCUCUCUAUGUCUCUCUCUCUUUUUGCUUGGUGAACGACGCUAACGAACACUCAGGUAGCACUUCCAUUAUGCAGAGGAGCCACUUAACACAUCCCACACCUCAUUAACGGUAAUAAGUGGCGUUUGCCACCUCCUUUGUCAGCAGGGUAAGCAAUCAAUAGGGUCAUUUCACAUCAUAACAGCUACUGGUGCACAUUACUAUCUUGUUCAUGGCGGGAACGGCGGUCAUUAAGGCCUGGAGCAGAUUAUAUAGGAGGGAGAAGACAGAUGGAGAGAAUUACGCCGAGCUAAGAGACGGAUCAAUAUGUGGAUAGCUGUGGAGAUAAUUCCACAGCCGGGAGACUUUCGGCUCAGCCAUAUUACAGCUCCUGUGCUGCUCUUUUGUGUUUGUGUAUGCUAAUGCGUGUGUGUGUGUGCGUGUGUGUGUGUGCGUGUGUGUGGCCCGCGUGCCCCCGCUGUGUCGUGUCAGUGCAUUUUCACACACUCACUCGUCGCUGAACAAGCCUGAUGAGGGCUAAUUACAGCACAGCGUCGGCCCGAACAGACGCACAUGCGCCUUUAAUUACAGGAAACAACGGCGUUAAUAUUUUAUGGAAAUGCACCUCGGCACGGAACCCCGGAGUGUGUGACAUUGAGAGUCAGGAAGAGACAUUUACUGUUCACACACACACACACACACACACACACACACACACACACACACACACACACACGGUUAGAAAAGAAAACCCAGUAAACACGACUCUGUCUUCAGACGCGAACCUGAUCAAAUCAAUUUGAGAAUAAAACUAACCCAAAAAAAAGGUUUCCCUAACAAUCCUUCUCCACUAAUCCCAUGUUCCAGAUGUUUCACUGCUGAUCGUGUUUUGCUAGCCUUGCUACACGAAAGGAAACU
ensembl:lncRNA